GAUGAACGCUGGCGGCGUGCCUAAUACAUGCAAGUAGAACGCUGAAGGAGGAGCUUGCUCUUCUGGAUGAGUUGCGAACGGGUGAGUAACGCGUAGGUAACCUGCCUGGUAGCGGGGGAUAACUAUUGGAAACGAUAGCUAAUACCGCAUAACAGUAGAUGUUGCAUGACAUCUACUUGAAAGGUGCAAUUGCAUCACUACCAGAUGGACCUGCGUUGUAUUAGCUAGUUGGUGAGGUAACGGCUCACCAAGGCGACGAUACAUAGCCGACCUGAGAGGGUGAUCGGCCACACUGGGACUGAGACACGGCCCAGACUCCUACGGGAGGCAGCAGUAGGGAAUCUUCGGCAAUGGACGGAAGUCUGACCGAGCAACGCCGCGUGAGUGAAGAAGGUUUUCGGAUCGUAAAGCUCUGUUGUAAGAGAAGAACGAGUGUGAGAGUGGAAAGUUCACA
rnacentral:rRNA from 1 species